rnacentral:pre_miRNA from 9 species
UCUCGAUAGCGUAAAAGUUAACUCAAUUUUGUAUGGAGUUGGAAUGUUUACUUACGUUUGCCGCUAGGGGCAGUGUUCCAACUGCAUACACAAAUUUGACUUUUACGCUAUCGA